UACGAAGGGGGCUAGCGUUGCUCGGAAUUACUGGGCGUAAAGGGCGCGUAGGCGGCCAUUCAAGUCGGGGGUGAAAGCCUGUGGCUCAACCACAGAAUUGCCUUCGAUACUGUUUGGCUUGAGUAUGGUAGAGGUCAGUGGAACUGCGAGUGUAGAGGUGAAAUUCGUAGAUAUUCGCAAGAACACCAGUGGCGAAGGCGGCUGACUGGACCAUUACUGACGCUGAGGCGCGAAAGCGUGGGGAGCGAACAGG
rnacentral:rRNA from 1 species